CGCCCCGGCUCACAGCGGCCGCAGCCGGACUCCCCAGCGGGCGCCCCGCAGGUGUCGGACCGAGUGUGGCCCGGGGCGCAGAGGCGGCGCCACGCACCCCGGUCUGGUCGCGAAACCCAGAACUCCGCGGAGGACGCGGCGCGGGAGCGGCCGCGAGCGCAGCCGGCCCCCACUCCCGGACCAGCUCCACCAGGGUGGGGAGAAGUGCCCUGGACGGAUCCCACUGAAUCCCCCUCCACCGACACCUCUCCCCGCCUUGCCGCGACAGACUCCUUCUUUUGUGUCUCCUUAUCUCCUUCUUUCCGACCCCCUCCAUCCCAGCGCGAAGCCCCUCUCGGCGCCUGGGUCGGACGCGGCAGGAGAGCGAGAGAGCCACGCGGCCCUUCCGGCUCCCCAUCCCACCCCACCUCUGCCCCCCCUUGCUGGGCUGGGGGCCGGGAGGAUGCUGGCCCUUUAAACCUUGGCUCCCACCCAGAGCACCUUCCAGCUCUCCUCCCACCCACCCACCCACGCCCGCCUCCUCCACGGGCCACUUCCGACAGCUGGCAGCCGUGGGGGAGCCCCGGGGAGCCCUCAGGCAGGGGGCGGCGGUGAAACCCGGGAGCGGGUGAAAGGCACAGCUGUGAUCCCCACCCCUCUCUCCCAGAGGAGCGGGCGGCGGGACUGCCGGGCGCUCGGGGUGCAGGUUAAUCAUUAACCUCCGCUGCUCGGCUCCCCAGUCGCGUCCCGGAGCUGCUUUCGGCCGCGGCUUCCCAGGUAACGGG
rnacentral:lncRNA from 1 species